rnacentral:rRNA from 1 species
CAGUCGCCACGGUAAUACAGAGGGUGCAAGCGUUAAUCGGAUUUACUGGGCGUAAAGGGCGCGUAGGUGGUUAUGUAAGUGAGAUGUGAAAUCCCCGGGCUCAACCUGGGAACUGCAUCUUAUACUGCGUAGCUGGAGUGCAGUAGAGGGUAGUGGAAUUUCCGGUGUAGCAGUGAAAUGCGUAGAUAUCGGAAGGAACACCAGUGGCGAAGGCGGCUACCUGGACUGACACUGACACUGAGGCGCGAAAGCGUGGGGAGCAAACAGGAUUAGAUACCCCCGUAGUCCCUGUCUCUUAUAA